rnacentral:lncRNA from 1 species
UCCCUGAUUAUUUUCCCUUCUUCCCAAAGCCUCUGCUGGCUCUUGCAUAGAGGGCAAACAUGAGUAAGCCAUUGUUCCCAUCAGUAGAUGGCAUUGGGGAAAACACUAUUGGUCUGUUGAAGUUCAUUCCAUUAUUUAUUAAACUGGAGAACAUUUUUUUUUUUUUUGAGACAGGUCUUAGGGCCAGUCUUUGGGAAAAAACACUACAUCCAAGGCAUUUACAAACUAGCAGUUAGGAAAUCCACGGAAGGACGCUGUGAAAGAUCAGUUACUAUCUUUUGGUAGCUAGAGCUCCAAGUGAGUUUUUGAAGUAAUUACCUGUGGUGAGGUUCUGCAUUCUUUGAAUAUUACUCCUCUUUGUACUAAGUUUGACAUUUUAUAUGAUCUCUAUCUCUGUGUUAACUUGUACUUUGCUCUGUAUACCUGUAUGACAGCUUUCUUAAACUUAGAUGUGCAUGCAUCUACUUCACCCAUGAAAGUGUAUGAUUUGGUGUGUGUUAACCAUUCACAGUUUAAUUAUUACUACACUCAUCCCCCUAAGAGUCCCUCUGCUGGGGGCUGGAGAGAUGGCUCAGCAGUUAAGAGCACUGAUUGCUCUUAAUUGCAUUUCCCAGCCAACCACGUGGUGGCUCACAGCCAUCUGUAAUGGGAUCCGAUACCCUCUUCUGGUGUGUCUGAAGACAGAGGCAGUUUACUCACAUACAUAAAAUAAAUAAAUCUU